UCCAUCGUGGUGUAAUGGCUAUCAUUUGUCGCUUUCAGUUGAAAGAGCCCCGACAGGACCCGGGUUCAAUUCCCGGCGAUGGAA